AGGGCAUCAAAGGCAAUACCUGGAAUCAGACGCACUAUUAAUGACACGGAGAGGAGGACUUCAGAGAGAAAGGCACUCGAAGCGCCAGAAAAAAGAAACUAAGUAGAAUGGCGCAGCGGAGAGGAGGGCUUCAGAGAGAAAGGCGUGGUGGAAGUUGAAGAUGUCCAAGUGGAAGUUGACGAUGGUGCGACGGUAAAGAAACACUUCGUAGAAGACACUUGAAGCGCGGCGGAAAGGAAUGGUGCGACGGAGAGGAGAAAGCUUUGAGUUUCAGAGUUUUCGCAUGGAAAACGAAACUGUUCACUGAUAUCUUUUUAACCUAAUUAAAUGAUACUACCGCGGUUCACUAUAAAAUCGAGGUAAUAGAGUGGAAUAGGUCGCGGUUUUUAUGGAAACCGCGGCCUAUUCUGAUUAAAAAAAAUCUUAAACUGAUCUGAAAU
rnacentral:lncRNA from 1 species